AUGAACGCUGGCGGCGUGCCUAAUACAUGCCCGUCGAGCGAACAGACGAGGAGCUUGCUCCUCUGACGUUAGCGGCGGACGGGUGAGUAACACGUGGAUAACCUACCUAUAAGACUGGGAUAACUUCGGGAAACCGGAGCUAAUACCGGAUAAUAUAUUGAACCGCAUGGUUCAAUAGUGAAAGACGGUUUUGCUGUCACUUAUAGAUGGAUCCGCGCCGCAUUAGCUAGUUGGUAAGGUAACGGCUUACCAAGGCAACGAUGCGUAGCCGACCUGAGAGGGUGAUCGGCCACACUGGAACUGAGACACGGUCCAGACUCCUACGGGAGGCAGCAGUAGGGAAUCUUCCGCAAUGGGCGAAAGCCUGACGGAGCAACGCCGCGUGAGUGAUGAAGGUCUUCGGAUCGUAAAACUCUGUUAUUAGGGAAGAACAAAUGUGUAAGUAACUAUGCACGUCUUGACGGUACCUAAUCAGAAAGCCACGGCUAACUACGU
rnacentral:rRNA from 1 species